rnacentral:lncRNA from 1 species
AAAAAGCGGAUAUUCAUAUUAUUACAUAAUAAUUAGGUUACCUGUUCUUCCAUUGACAAAUAUUAAAACACUGGAUGAUGAUAUGAGAAUCCCCUGCACGUGAAGAAACCCCGAAAAAGUGUCUCGUGUAUUUUGUUUUGCAGACCAGACCAAAUUAACAGCUAAGCUUGAUGCAUUUUAUGUAAGAAGACGACAAUUAUUUAUUUUUAUUUACUGCUCUUAAUUUACUGAUUCCACAACAAUUUAAAGAGAGAUCCGAGAAUAAUUAGCUGCUUUUGCCCUUCAGCAGCGCCGCUAGCUAAUAAUAAUAUGCAGCCUCGAUUGAAUUCUAAUGAGUUUUCAAGAACAUUUCCCCCCUUUUUAUGCUUCGAUAUUAUAAAUUUUCAGGUGUUGCUAAGUUACACAACUUACAUCAAUCUAAAUUCAGUUUUUUUUUUUUUUUCAAAUAUGAAUCAAUUACCAGUUGUCAAAUAAUUCAAAAGGUUACGGAGACUAAUCUUAAGUCAGUUGUAAGUAACAAAAAUUGUAAUUUAAUUAACAAUUAUUGAUAAUUGAUCACCUUAUAAACGAUACAUCAUAUGUCACGUCAUUUAAAAUAUAAUUUGAGAUAAAAUUUUAAAAUACAUAUCAUUAGAUAUAAAAAUU